UACGAAGGGGGCUAGCGUUGCUCGGAAUCACUGGGCGUAAAGGGUGCGUAGGCGGGUCUUUAAGUCAGGUGUGAAAGCCCCGGGCUCAACCUGGGAAUUGCAUUUGAGACUGAAUAGCUAGGGUGCGGAAGAGGGAAGCGGAAUUUCCGGUGUAGCGGUGAAAUGCGUAGAUAUCGGAAGGAACACCAGUGGCGAAAGCGGCUUCCUGGUCCAGCACCGACGUUCAGGCACGAAAGCGUGGGGAGCAAACAGG
rnacentral:rRNA from 1 species